UGGGGAAUUUUGGACAAUGGGCGAAAGCCUGAUCCAGCAAUGCCGCGUGUGUGAAGAAGGCCUUCGGGUUGUAAAGCACUUUUGUCCGGAAAGAAAUCCUUGGCUCUAAUACAGUCGGGGGAUGACGGUACCGGAAGAAUAAGCACCGGCUAACUACGUGCCAGCAGCCGCGGUAAUACGUAGGGUGCAAGCGUUAAUCGGAAUUACUGGGCGUAAAGCGUGCGCAGGCGGUUUGCUAAGACCGAUGUGAAAUCCCCGGGCUCAACCUGGGAACUGCAUUGGUGACUGGCAGGCUAGAGUAUGGCAGAGGGGGGUAGAAUUCCACGUGUAGCAGUGAAAUGCGUAGAGAUGUGGAGGAAUACCGAUGGCGAAGGCAGCCCCCUGGGCCAAUACUGACGCUCAUGCACGAAAGCGUGGGGAGCAAACAGGAUUAGAUACCCUGGUAGUCCACGCCCUAAACGAUGUCAACUAGUUGUUGGGGGGUUCAUUUCCUUAGUAACGUAGCUAACGCGUGAAGUUGACCGCCUGGGGAGUACGGUCGCAAGAUUAAAACUCAAAGGAAUUGACGGGGUCAUA
rnacentral:rRNA from 1 species